rnacentral:lncRNA from 1 species
GAGUUCAGCUAUCCCCCUCUCUAAAAAGGGGGGGGGGGGGGGGGGGGGGUUGUUUCAUCGGCGUGUAGAUCCUCUUAAUGGAUAGUGGGUGGAGAAGAGCCAACAUUAUCCUUUAGCUGCGGAAUGGUAUCAAUAUCCACUAAAGGGACAACAUAGCUAGUGUCUAUAGAAGGUGAUGUAAAGGCAGAAACCUGAACAGUUGAUGAAGGUACAAGACACCUCUUCUCUUUAUGUCCUAGAUUUCCACACCUCUCACACCUCGAUGGAAUCCAUGUGUACUCAAUAUUUACAAGGAAAAUGUUAC